rnacentral:tRNA from 1 species
GGGAAUGUAGCUCAGUGGAGGAGCACUUGCCUGCAAUGCAUAAAGCCUGAGUUUAAUCCCCAGCACUGCAA